rnacentral:rRNA from 1 species
AUUGAACGCUGGCGGAAUGCUUUACACAUGCAAGUCGAACAGCAGCACGGACUUCGGUCUGGUGGCGAGUGGCGAACGGGUGAGUAAUACAUCGGAACGUGCCCAGUCGUGGGGGAUAACGUAGAGAAAGCUACGCUAAUACCGCAUACGAUCUAAGGAUGAAAGCGGGGGAUCGCAAGACCUCGCGCGCUUGGAGCGGCCGAUGGCAGAUUAGGUAGUUGGUAGGGUAAAGGCCUACCAAGCCGACGAUCUGUAGCUGGUCUGAGAGGAGGAUCAGCCACACUGGGACUGAGACACGGCCCAGACUCCUACGGGAGGCAGCAGUGGGGAAUUUUGGACAAUGGACGCAAGCCUGAUCCAGACAUUCCGCGUGCAGGAUGAAGGCCUUCGGGUUGUAAACUGCUUUUGUACAGAACGAAAAGGCUCUGGUUAAUACCCGGGGCUCAUGACGGUACUGUAAGAAUAAGCACCGGCUAACUACGUGCCAGCCGCCGCGGUAA